UACAGAGGUCUCAAGCGUUGUUCGGAUUCAUUGGGCGUAAAGGGUGUGUAGGUGGCGCCGUUAGUCGGGUGUGAAAUUUCGGAGCUUAACUUCGAAACUGCAUUCGAUACUGCCGUGCUUGAGGACUGGAGAGGAGACUGGAAUUUACGGUGUAGCGGUGAAAUGCGUAGAUAUCGUAAGGAAGACCAGUGGCGAAGGCGGGUCUCUGGACAGUUCCUGACGCUGAGGCACGAAGGCCAGGGGAGCAAACGGG
rnacentral:rRNA from 1 species